ensembl:lncRNA
GUGAUGCUCCAUGCCAUGCUUAGCUCCUUAAUUUGCCGCUGGAGUGCUUGGCCCCGUAAUUGCUGCUUGCAGCUAUAUUUAUUAGGGGCCAAGCACCGAAGGUGCUUAGGCACCUAUUGUAUCCGUUGGCGUUAUUCUUCUUCUUCUUCUUCUUCUUCUUCUUCUUCUUCUUCUUCUUCCGCCACAAGUCUAUGGCAGCCCAUAGAACCGAUUGCGGGAAAGUUGUAUAAUUUGGCACACUGAUAGAGGACAGUCCCA